AAGUCGUAACAAGGUUUCCGUAGGUGAACCUGCGAAGGAUCAUUAACACGUAUCCAACGUUAAACCUCCCCGUGAAUAUUAAUCGAACGGUUUGAUUCACACCUCUACGUCGUGGAUGACUGCUGACGCUAAAGGUGCAAUCGAGCGCUAGGAUCAGUGGUUUGGUUUCCCCUCAAACCACUUCAAUAGUGUCAUUGAAGUGUGAUGGGAGGUCGCUUAACGCACGCUGUAGGCUCACACGAGCCGGCGUCCAAAUCACCGGGCGCAAGACCCCUAAAAACCACAUGCCAGCGUAGGCCCUUCUGUCGUGGUUGGACGUAAAAACGAACAACUGUUAACAAUGGAUCUUGGUUCUC
rnacentral:misc_RNA from 1 species